AACAAAGGGAAGCGACCACGUGAGUGUAAGCGAAUCCCAAAAAUAACGUCUCAGUUCGGAUUGUAGUCUGCAACUCGACUACAUGAAGCUGGAAUCGCUAGUAAUCGCGAAUCAGAAUGUCGCGGUGAAUACGUUCCCGGGUCUUGUACACACCGCCCGUCACACCAUGGGAGUCGGAAAUGCCCGAAGUCAGUGACCUAACCGAAAGGGAGGAGCUGCCGAAGGUGGAGCCGGUAACUGGGGUGAAGUCGUAACAAGGUAGC
rnacentral:rRNA from 1 species